rnacentral:rRNA from 1 species
UUGAAGAGUUUGAUCAUGGCUCAGAUUGAACGCUGGCGGCAGGCCUAACACAUGCAAGUCGAGCGGUAGCACAGAGAGCUUGCUCUCGGGUGACGAGCGGCGGACGGGUGAGUAAUGUCUGGGAAACUGCCUGAUGGAGGGGGAUAACUACUGGAAACGGUAGCUAAUACCGCAUAACGUCGCAAGACCAAAGUGGGGGACCUUCGGGCCUCAUGCCAUCAGAUGUGCCCAGAUGGGAUUAGCUAGUAGGUGGGGUAAUGGCUCACCUAGGCGACGAUCCCUAGCUGGUCUGAGAGGAUGACCAGCCACACUGGAACUGAGACACGGUCCAGACUCCUACGGGAGGCAGCAGUGGGGAAUAUUGCACAAUGGGCGCAAGCCUGAUGCAGCCAUGCCGCGUGUGUGAAGAAGGCCUUCGGGUUGUAAAGCACUUUCAGCGGGGAGGAAGGCGAUAAGGUUAAUAACCUUGUCGAUUGACGUUACCCGCAGAAGAAGCACCGGCUAACUCCGUGCCAGCAGCCGCGGUAAUACGGAGGGUGCAAGCGUUAAUCGGAAUUACUGGGCGUAAAGCGCACGCAGGCGGUCUGUCAAGUCGGAUGUGAAAUCCCCGGGCUCAACCUGGGAACUGCAUUCGAAACUGGCAGGCUAGAGUCUUGUAGAGGGGGGUAGAAUUCCAGGUGUAGCGGUGAAAUGCGUAGAGAUCUGGAGGAAUACCGGUGGCGAAGGCGGCCCCCUGGACAAAGACUGACGCUCAGGUGCGAAAGCGUGGGGAGCAAACAGGAUUAGAUACCCUGGUAGUCCACGCCGUAAACGAUGUCGAUUUGGAGGUUGUGCCCUUGAGGCGUGGCUUCCGGAGCUAACGCGUUAAAUCGACCGCCUGGGGAGUACGGCCGCAAGGUUAAAACUCAAAUGAAUUGACGGGGGCCCGCACAAGCGGUGGAGCAUGUGGUUUAAUUCGAUGCAACGCGAAGAACCUUACCUGGUCUUGACAUCCACAGAACUUUCCAGAGAUGGAUUGGUGCCUUCGGGAACUGUGAGACAGGUGCUGCAUGGCUGUCGUCAGCUCGUGUUGUGAAAUGUUGGGUUAAGUCCCGCAACGAGCGCAACCCUUAUCCUUUGUUGCCAGCGGUUAGGCCGGGAACUCAAAGGAGACUGCCAGUGAUAAACUGGAGGAAGGUGGGGAUGACGUCAAGUCAUCAUGGCCCUUACGACCAGGGCUACACACGUGCUACAAUGGCAUAUACAAAGAGAAGCGACCUCGCGAGAGCAAGCGGACCUCAUAAAGUAUGUCGUAGUCCGGAUUGGAGUCUGCAACUCGACUCCAUGAAGUCGGAAUCGCUAGUAAUCGUAGAUCAGAAUGCUACGGUGAAUACGUUCCCGGGCCUUGUACACACCGCCCGUCACACCAUGGGAGUGGGUUGCAAAAGAAGUAGGUAGCUUAACCUUCGGGAGGGCGCUUACCACUUUGUGAUUCAUGACUGGGGUGAAGUCGUAACAAGGUAACCGUAGGGGAACCUGCGGUUGGAUCACCUCCUU